CUCUCUCUCUCUCUCUCUCUCUAAUCUGAAACAAAAUUACUCUUUCUCUAGCAUCAUCUUCCUUCAUUAAACUCUAAAAAAACAUCAUCAAUUCAUUACACAGAUCAAUAUAUCACUUUAUUACAGAACUCAAAAACUAUCCCUCUCUCUAAUCUCUCGCUCUUCUCUUUCUAUACGGAACCAAGCCACCACCGGAACAUCAUUACACUGAACCACAACCUUCACGAACUACCAAACCAGGCUAACAAAGGCAGCCGUUGAACUAUGGUGUUGACGGUGGUGGCCGCCGAUAGCAGGUCUCCCAGAGAUGGAAAGCAUAUCGAAGUUUUGGGCUACUAUAACCCUUUGCGAGGUCAGGAUGGUGGUAAACGAAUGGGGCUUAAUAUCGGGGUGAAGUAAGUUGUUCGCUACACUUAUCGUCAUUCGAUAUGAUAUGAAUCAGAGAAAAUUUUUGAGAGUUCAAGGAAGGAAGAUGAUGAUAGAGAAAGAGUGGAUGUAAUUUUGUUUCAGAUUAAAGAGAGAGAGAUUAUAAUUGUUUCUUUAUUUUUUAAGUUUUUUAUAAAUAGUCCCUGAAUAAGAAUUCUUUACAAAAUAGCCACUGAGAAGGUAAAAUGACAAGAAAGCCCUCAUGUGCAAGGCACAUGACCAUAUUUAACCAAAAAAUCUGACUGGGUUAGGGCUAAAGGACAUAACGUGCAAGAUUUUGAAACGUUAAGGACAAAACUCGU
rnacentral:lncRNA from 1 species